UACGAAGGGGGCUAGCGUUGUUCGGAAUUACUGGGCGUAAAGCGCGCGCAGGCGGCUAUCCAAGUCAGUGGUGAAAGCCCGGAGCUCAACUCCGGAACUGCCAUUGAAACUGUUUAGCUUGAGGACGAGAGGGGUGAGUGGAAUUCCCAGUGUAGAGGUGAAAUUCGUAGAUAUUGGGAAGAACACCGGUGGCGAAGGCGGCUCACUGGCUCGUAUCUGACGCUCAGGCGCGACAGCGUGGGGAUCAAACAGG
rnacentral:rRNA from 1 species